AUGGUUUCAGGUGCUCCAGAAGGCGGUAGAAACUUGACACUUCAUCUGGAUGUUACGGCAAGAUUGAGAAAGCAGAAGGUGCUCAGUUUUAUCAAAGGAGAGGACUUUUACCAGGUGUCAGAAGCCACAAUGUCGAGUAAAAGCUUCCAGGGACUUAAGGAACAAGCUGAAGGUGCAGCAAAAGAUGCUGCAAACACAUUGGAAAAGGCCACUCAGGAUGCAGUCAACCAGAUUACAGAUGCAAGCCAGAAAGCUUUUGACAAGGCUUCCAAGAGGGCACAAGAUGGAGUAGAAAAAGUGGCCGGACAAGCUGCAGAAGCAAUGUCUGGCUUCGGGAAAAAAUGUGAAUUUAAAAAAUGAUGCUAAUUUAAGUUGGCAGUACUGCUUGUAUAAACCUCUCUUUGGUCUGCAAUUCCCUACUUCUUUGUGUAGAAAAAUGAAAGCUGUUUGAUAUCUGGAUGAUUUCGUCCUCUUCAAAUACAAAUUUUUAAGGCAGAAGGUCCCCUCAUCCUUUACUUAGAAAAAAUAUCUUAUAGUAUAUCUGCUCACAAUCAUCAACAUGGCUCAAAAGGUUUCAGCAAUGCUGUUGCCCUGCUCUUACAACAGCUCAGUGAUUAUUGCCACAUUAGCUGAGUGUAUUUACAAAGCCAGUGAAACUGUUCAUAACUGGGACACCAGAACAUUCAUGUGAUGAAACUGAGUCAACUUCCAAAAGUUAAGCUGGGGUUGUAUUUCUUGUCAGUUGUUUGAUUUGUUCCCAUCCUCUGUAUUUUUAGAUUAAGAUAAAUAAAGGUACUGUAAGAUUUCCUCUACUCAGAUUGUCUCGUUGUUUAAUCUCAUUAUUUUACUGGAGCUUUCACUGAAGGAUCGCACAGUGUCUUGCUAAUCUCUUUUGCUCUCUGAUUCAAAGUCCAGUGAGGUCAGUGACAACCCUGUAAAGGAGAGGAGUACUGAACCCUUCUGCAGUCUGGCAGACGGAUGGAAACCAACAGCCCCGCACUGCAGACGAGCCCUGUGGUGUCUGUGAGUGAACGGAGUUUUGGUGUCCACCCCCUUCUCCUUUCUCCUACACGUCUGUUGCCCAUCUAAAUGUCUUGUUUCCAUUAUCCACAAUACACCUGUUAAAUCUG
rnacentral:lncRNA from 1 species